AAUAUUGGACAAUGGGGGAAACCCUGAUCCAGCCAUCCCGCGUGUAUGAUGAAGGCCUUCGGGUUGUAAAGUACUUUUGGCAGAGAAGAAGAGUUAUCGCCUAAUACAGGACACUGCUGACGGUAUUUGCAGAAUAAGCACCGGCUACCUACUUGCCACCAGCCGCGGUAAUACGUAGGGGGCAAGCGUUAAUCGGAAGUACUGGGCGUAAAGCGUGUGUAGGCGGUUCGGAAAGAAAGAUGUAAAAUCCCAGGGCUCAAACUUGGAACUGCAUUUUUAACUGCCGAGCUAGGGUAUGUCAGGAGGGGGUAGAAUUCCACGUGUAGCAGUGAAAUGCGUAAGUAUGUGGAGGAAUACCGAUGGCGAAGGCAGCCCCCUGGGAUAAUACUGACGCUCAGACACGAAAGCGUGGGGAGCAAACAGG
rnacentral:rRNA from 1 species